rnacentral:sRNA from 1 species
ACUCAACACUAACAAUUUAGAAUGAGCAAAUCAUCGCUACUAAAGCAUGCUGCCCCGAGCAGAAACUUGAACAGCGAGUUAGCUCAAAACUUGUCUUUACGAGUUU